GACGAACGCUGGCGGCGUGCUUAACACAUGCAAGUCGAACGAAGUGGCGAACGGGUGAGUAACGCGUAAUCAACCUGCCCUUCAGAGGGGGACAACAGUUGGAAACGACUGCUAAUACCGCAUACUGAAGGAGGGGAUUGCGUGUGAUUGGCUAGUUGGGGGGGUAACGGCCCACACAGGCGAUGAUCAGUAGGCGGUCUGGGAGGGUGAACGGCCACAUUGGGACUGAGACACGGGCCAGACUCCUACGGGAGGCAGCAGGUGGGAAACUUCCGCAAUGGACGAAAGUCUGACGGCGCAACGCCGCGUGAGUUAUGACGGCCUUCGGGUUGUAAAGCUCUGUUAAUCGGGACGCGGUACCGGAAUAGAAAGCCACGGCUAACUACGUGCCAGCAGCCGCGGUAAUUC
rnacentral:rRNA from 1 species